rnacentral:rRNA from 1 species
AUACGUAGGGUGCGAGCGUUGUCCGGAAUUACUGGGCGUAAAGAGCUCGUAGGUGGUUUGUCGCGUCGUCUGUGAAAUUCCGGGGCUUGACUCCGGGCGUGCAGGCGAUACGGGCAUAACUUGAGUACUGUAGGGGAGACUGGAAUUCCUGGUGUAGCGGUGAAAUGCGCAGAUAUCAGGAGGAACACCGGUGGCGAAGGCGGGUCUCUGGGCAGUAACUGACGCUGAGGAGCGAAAGCAUGGGUAGCGAACAGGAUUAGAUACCCUGGUAGUCCAUGCCGUAAACGGUGGGCGCUAGGUGUAGGGGUCCUCCACGACUUCUGUGCCGUAGCUAACGCAUUAAGCGCCCCGCCUGGGGAGUACGGCCGCAAGGCUAAAACUCAAAUGAAUUGACGGG